UGCUGAUGAACAUCUCAAGUAUCAAAUCCGCUGUUCUUUUCUUGAGAUAUACAAUGAGCAAAUAACAGAUUUAUUGGAUCCAAAUCAAAGAAACUUGCAGAUAAGAGAAGAUGUAAAAUCUGGUGUCUAUGUUGAGAAUUUGACAGAAGAGUAUGUGAAUUCAAUGAAGGGAUUGACUAAGCUACUGUUAAAGG